UUAGCUUUGUUUUGGAUAGUUUACUAUCCGUCCUCAGGCUAACAAUUUGUUAGCCUGAGGACGGAUAGUAAACUAUCUAAACGCAGCUAAAAUAAAAAUAUCAAAAACCUCUUGUGUGAUCCUUGAUUUAAAUAA